GUGUGACCAGCGGAGGAGGGUGUAAACAAAGAGAGACACAGCGGGUCUUACAAGUGGAUGUCAUACUGACGUCCAUGGAUACAAAACAAAUUUUAGCGCCAGUCAGGCAAUUUAUGCGCCAACACUCCAAAGAAUUGUUAUAUGCUUUUUUUUGGAAUUGAUUUAAAAACGUUAUUUGACUUUUGGCAUCUAUCUAAUCAUCCCCUGUCUUAUUUCAUUGCAUUUCAUUUUCAUUUCAUUUUCAUUUCAUUUAUUUAAAUACAACAACAUAUACAUCUACCUUAUUUUCUUAACAUGCACUUAAUCAGCACAUCGAUAGAAUAUAAUUAUUUCGUAGGUGUUAUUUUAUUAUUUUUAUUUUAUUAAAAAUAUUUUAUUAAUACUGUCGUAAUGUUAGUUUUAAUUUUUUUAAAAUCUUUAUUAUUUAUAAUUAUUAUUAUUUUUAUUACGUUAGGAAUCGCGUAAAUUUCGUAGACGCCAAUAGUCAAAUUUGAAAUAUUCACAUACAAAUACGAAACUAUUGAAAUUUUAUAUAAAAUUUUGCCAACUGGAGUCUUUCGGCGUUUGUGCCUUUUUAUCCUCCUUGACGUGCUGAUUUGAUGAACGCCAUCGCGUCUUCGAGCAUCCAAGCAUCAAUCAUAGUAAGAACUAACAUGUGCUGAAACCAAAAAGCUAAUAUACACAGGGCGGAUCCAGAGAUUUUCUGAAGGGGUGGGGAGUGGGGACACAAUAAGAAGUCCACGCCACUCCCACCUCGGCCCCACCAUGGUUGGUGAAAAUAAGUGGUAAAUAAUCUAGCUUUCCUUCGCCCACUGCUGAUCACCACUGAACUCAUGGGUGCACUGUCUUUUUUCAUCUUUCCUCUCUCUAACUCAAAUUUUUCUCCCUAUUUUUUAUUUUUUGGCUUGACUGAUGGGGGAGGGGCGGGAACGGGUCUCAUGCCCCCCCCCCCCCCCCGCUGGAUCCGUCCCAGAUAUAGAACUCUAUAUAAUACCUUUUUGGUUAAAAUGUGUUUCUUCCAUUUCUACUAACACACAGGUUUAGACAUUAGGCUUUUCUUUUUCAGGGCAACGAAGCUAAUAAUAAUUACGGCUGAUCUUGUUGAUAUUAUUCAAUGUUAAUACUGUAUAGCAUAUUUAGCUAGAUUUUAUAAUUGCAAACAAGGUUUAAUGAUUAUCGUAUCAUACAGAAUUGCGAUGAUAAUAUAGAUGAACCAUGGGUUCCAUGGAUAAACUUCCAAUAUAGGCCUUCUAAUUACCAUUAUAGGCCACUAGCUGUUACUAGAUGCUGAUAAUCUGACAACACUGCAUGUAGAUCAUAUAUUCUGCAAAAUUUUGACAACAUCAAUUUAUCAUAUAAACAGCAUCAAUUAGACUAUUUAUGAAUGUAUGUAUUAUGCAAAUUGAACUAACACUUAGACCGAUAUAGAAUAAGACAGUUGUUGUUUAAUUAUGUUGAUUAUAUGCAAAUGUAACUGGACCACAGGUAAGUUACUAACACAGCAAGACAUCGCUUCGAGCAUCCAAGCAUCAAACCAAGUAAGUCAACUAACCACAGGAUUGUUUGUGUAGAAGAAACAAUCAUACUAAUAUUGUACCCAAUGCCCAUCUUGUAAACCACUUUAUUUAAAUCAUAGUAUUUUUUAUUUAUUUAUUUUUUUAUUCGUUUCGAUAGUGGGUUAGGUCAGUAUUUUGAUAAUGAUAGCAGGUGCUGCCUCAAUGCGUCUUCAAUUGUAUACCUAUGAAAUUGUUACAAUAAAUCUGUACUGGUACAUUUGUACAAACAACUGUGUCUUGACUCCUUCUUUACAUUGGUAUCUGUGUCUUUUUUUUUUUAUCACAUUUAUGGUCAGCCCCUAGUCCUAUACCAAACAUUGUAUCCCUAUGAAUUUGUUUCAAUAAAUUGGUACAUCAGAACAUGCGUUUAUGUCUCGUUUAUUUAACAUCCUAAGACGUGUUUUUGUCUGAAUUUGUUAUGAAUUGUAAUUUUGUAAAUGUAAAACAAUAGUAAAUGAAAUUCAUUUACUAUUGUUAAAUUUCAGUGUAUGUAAAUCCAAGGUUUAUAAUAACUAAUAGUAUGUCUUUUAUUUCAGAAAUUUAAUACAUUUUGUUGUUCACAGACAGUAGCAAGGCGACAAAUACCUUGUGCAUCACAGGUCUUUGUCACCAUGCAAUGUGUGCGGAAUAAAUAAAUAUUAUUCGUUCAAUAGUAUUUUAUGAACUUUCGUUAGUUUAUUUCAUUUCAGAAGAAAACAAUCUGGUGAUUUUGAUAAUGAUACUUGAGGAAAUAUGCUAACCUACUGAUUGGCUGGCGGUACUUCUACCUAUCGACGUGGAAUGAAAGAAAAAUGAUGAUGAUGGUGAUUGUGAUGAUGACGGUAGCGAUGACUAUAAUAGUGACGUUUAAUGAAGAUUUUAAAUUUUUGUGUAGUGUAUUUGAGCUUUUUAACUGACUUUGAUUUUGACUGACUUUGCUAUUACAACAUACUAUAAAAUGACAAAUGAUGGUGAUGAGUGACGACAGCGAUGACGAUUAACGAUAAUGAAAUGGUGUAUCCAAACUUGCAAAGAAUAAAUCAAAUCAAUUUGCUAGGUGGACUCGGGCUUCUUCUCUGCUUCUUCUUCUAAUGGAGAAUUAUCGACAUAAAGUGCUCAUGAGGAUGAUGCGGAUAACGAGGAUGAUGACGAUAGAGAUGAUACUGAUGGUGAUGAUGAAAUGGUAGACCUGUGCUUGCAAAGUGGUUGAUAUGCAAAGCAGUAAAUGCUUGUGGACACUCCCCGACCUGACUUGAAUUUAGAGUGUGAUCGACUUAAAAACAAGGAAAUAUGUGGACGUCGAUGAUUAAUAAUGAUCGUAUGGUGAUGGACGGCUGAUUUUAAGAAAAAAACCCUGGAUUUCGAUAAUGAUUCUUGUGGAAAUAUGCUGUGAUUGGCUGGUGGUUCUUCUGCCGAUGGAUAAUUUAUUGACUUGAAUUGAAAACAAAAUGAACAGUGAUGAUGAUGAUGUAUACUUGUUCAUAUCGACAUGAAAUGAACAUUGAACGAAUACGAUGAUAUAAUUCAAGAUGAUAACUAGGAUGUUGUUGCUGAUAAGGAUGGCGAUAGAGCUGACGUUGAAACAGUAACGACGAUUCUAAUUUUACAGUAGGCCCUACAAUACUUGAUUACUUGUAAUAGACUCUUGAAUCUUUACUAUGCUUAUCUUUCAAUCAUAGAGCCAAAUAUGGACUGGAAAGGACGAUGACAACUAUAACGAUGAUGCGAAUAACGAGGAUGAUGGCGAUAGGGAUGGUACGGAUGGUGAUGAUGAUGAUGAAAUGGUAGACCUGUACUUGCAAAGUGGUCGAUACGCAAAUCAGUAAAUGCUUGUAGACAGUCCCCGACCUGACUGGAAUUUGGUGUGAUCGACUUAAAAACAAGAAAAUAUGUGCACGUCGAUGAUUAAUAAUGACCGUAUGAUAAUGGACGGCUUAUAUCAAGAAAAGAAAACCUGGUGAUUUCGAUAAUGAUGCUUGUGGAAAUAUUCUAUGAUUGGCUGGUGGUUCUUCUGCCGAUGGAUAUUUUAUUGACUUGAAUUGAAAAGAAAAUGAACAGUGACGAUGAUAAUGAUGAUUGUGAUGAUGAUGAUGAUGAUGAAAUGAACAUUGAACGAAUACGAUGAUAUAAUUCAUGAUGAUAACGAGGAUGUUGUUGCUGAUAAGGAUGGCGAUAGAGUUGACGUUAAAACAGUAACGACGAUUCUAAUUUUACAGUAGGCCCUACUUGAUAACUUGUAAUUGACUCUUGAAUCUUUACUCUGCUUAUCUUCCUAUCAUGGAUCCAAAUAUGGACUGGAAAGUUUGGGUGGUUCCUGAGAGCUUUAGUGAUUUGGGAUUUGAGCUGAUUAAGAGACUUUGCCAUUAGUACAACCUAAUAAAAAAAAUGACGAUAAUGGUGAUGAUUAAAACGGCAGCGUUGACUUUUUAGUGACUAUUAACGAUAAUGAAAUGGUGUAGGCCCUAACUAAACUUGCAAAUAUAAUUUUUAAGAUGAUGUGAAUGCAUGAAAGUUGACCUUGUUUUUCAAAGCGGCUUGGUGUUGUAAAAUGACCAGAGGGCUAUUGGGCUAUGCACAGGCUUAGACAUCUAUACAUUUUUAUAACAUAAAAUUUGUUUUCAUUUCAGAAAAGAAAUAAUAAGGAAUUACCGAUUUUCUGAUUAAAUCAUAUCAACGUGUUCCUUUUGACGGUGAAUAUCAACUUAAAGUGAGGACGAUGAUAAUUAUAACGAAUAUAAUCUUGUAUAUGAUGGCGAUAAAAUGUUAACGUCACGGUGACGAUGAAAUGGUAGACCAACUUGCAAAGCCCGACAGAAGUGGUUGAUAUGCAAGGCCUUGAAUACUUGUGAACUGCCGCCGACUUCAACCUACUGAAACUGUGUACCAUCGACUUAGAGGAAUCUACUGGUGGAUUAAAAGUUGAUUAUACUAAAGGAAUUUGGAACUGUGACCAACCUAAUAUCAGUAUGACAUAGAAAGCGAAUUUUGUUUUGUUUAUCAGCAGAAUAAUAUCAUUUCCGAAGGAAUAAGCCAAUCUGGUCGAUUUAAUUUAGAGAUGCCAUGUAUUUUUGAAAGUGUUAAGCAAUGCCUUAGUCAGAAUUUUUCGGGUGGACCCACUUUACGCGUAAAUUCAAAUAAUGUGAACCCAUUUUCUUAAAAUUUCACGCAAAAAACAUUUUAACACAAAAAUAUGAAAAAUCUGGACCCAUUUUCUUAAAGUUUGCC